UAAGCGCACAGUACCGCAUGGUACGGUGUGAAAAACUCCGGUGGUAUGAGAUGGACCCGCGUCUGAUUAGGUAGUUGGUGGGGUAACGGCCUACCAAGCCGACGAUCAGUAGCCGACCUGAGAGGGUGACCGGCCACAUUGGGACUGAGACACGGCCCAGACUCCUACGGGAGGCAGCAGUGGGGAAUAUUGCACAAUGGGCGCAAGCCUGAUGCAGCGACGCCGCGUGCGGGAUGGAGGCCUUCGGGUUGUAAACCGCUUUUGUUCAAGGGCAAGGCACGGUUUCGGCCGUGUUGAGUGGAUUGUUCGAAUAAGCACCGGCUAACUACGUGCCAGCAGCCGCGGUAAUACGUAGGGUGCGAGCGUUAUCCGGAUUUAUUGGGCGUAAAGGGCUCGUAGGCGGUUCGUCGCGUCCGGUGUGAAAGUCCAUCGCCUAACGGUGGAUCUGCGCCGGGUACGGGCGGGCUGGAGUGCGGUAGGGGAGACUGGAAUUCCCGGUGUAACGGUGGAAUGUGUAGAUAUCGGGAAGAACACCAAUGGCGAAGGCAGGUCUCUGGGCCGUCACUGACGCUGAGGAGCGAAAGCGUGGGGAGCGAACAGGAUUAGAUACCCUGGUAGUCCACGCCGUAAACGGUGGAUGCUGGAUGUGGGGCCCUUUCCACGGGUCCCGUGUCGGAGCCAACGCGUUAAGCAUCCCGCCUGGGGAGUACGGCCGCAAGGCUAAAACUCAAAGAAAUUGACGGGGGCCCGCACAAGCGGCGGAGCAUGCGGAUUAAUUCGAUGCAACGCGAAGAACCUUACCUGGGCUUGACAUGUGCCGGAUCGCCGUGGAGACACGGUUUCCCUUCGGGGCCGGUUCACAGGUGGUGCAUGGUCGUCGUCAGCUCGUGUCGUGAGAUGUUGGGUUAAGUCCCGCAACGAGCGCAACCCUCGCCGCAUGUUGCCAGCGGGUGAUGCCGGGAACUCAUGUGGGACCGCCGGGGUCAACUCGGAGGAAGGUGGGGAUGACGUCAGAUCAUCAUGCCCCUUACGUCCAGGGCUUCACGCAUGCUACAAUGGCCGGUACAACGCGGUGCGACACGGUGACGUGGGGCGGAUCGCUGAAAACCGGUCUCAGUUCGGAUCGCAGUCUGCAACUCGACUGCGUGAAGGCGGAGUCGCUAGUAAUCGCGGAUCAGCAACGC
rnacentral:rRNA from 1 species